rnacentral:rRNA from 1 species
GACCCCAGGUCAGUCGGGACUACCCGCUGAGUUUAAGCAUAUCAAUA